UACGGGGGGGGCAAGCGUUGUUCGGAAUUACUGGGCGUAAAGGGCUCGUAGGCGGCCAACUAAGUCAGACGUGAAAUCCCUCGGCUUAACCGGGGAACUGCAUCUGAUACUGGAUGGCUUGAGUUCGGGAGAGGGAUGUGGAAUUCCAGGUGUAGCGGUGAAAUGCGUAGAUAUCUGGAGGAACACCGGUGGCGAAGGCGGCAUCCUGGACCGACACUGACGCUGAGGCGCGAAGGCGCGGGGAGCGAACGGGG
rnacentral:rRNA from 1 species